AGAGGUUCUAGGGGCAGCCGGCGCGCUUCUCUAGUUGCAGCUUGGGCGGCUCCUGUGGUGGGCGGCUAGGGGCGAGCCGGGAUGGGCUAUAGACGCGCGACGUGAUCAGUUCGCACGCGGACCCACGCCUCCCAUCGCUCUGCCUCAAGAGCCUAUUCUGUGGGUGCAGGCACGCACCGGACGCAGACCCGGCCGGAGCAUGCGGGGUGCGGUGUGGGCGGCCCGGAGGCGCGCGGGGCAGCAGUGGCCUCGGUCCCCGGGCCCUGGGCCGGGUCCGCCCCCGCCGCCACCGCUGCUGUUGCUGCUACUACUGCUGCUGGGCGGCGCGAGCGCUCAGUACUCCAGCGACCUGUGCAGCUGGAAGGGGAGGUGAGUCUUGCGGGUGAUUCCAGCGUGGACUCCCUGGACCUGGACCGGAGCCCUCGGCAGCGAGUGGCAGAGCUUGCGGGGUAGGGACAGCUAUGCUGGCCAAGUCCGGUGACCCCCGCCCUAGCUCUGGUUUCAGAACAAAAGAGUUGGUGGCAUCUGGGUCCCAGCUCGGAAGACGCCCACUCUCCGCGCGCGUAAUACUGCCCUAGUGGGUUUCCUGGGCUCCAUAGGCUGCAUGUUUGGUCCUCCCAACGGUUGGGAUUUCUGAUUCUUGGGAAAGGGUUGGGAUUGUGCUCAUCUAGAGGGACAGCUGUGGCGUGGAGAGCGUGGGGUCCAAACGAGACCCGUAUCGGCUGCAGACCGUAUCUUUGGGGCAAAGAGAUGGGGUCGACACCUGUCUGCGGCCAAAUGCAGUAGGGUAGAGCCCUGAGCCCGCUUGGUGAAGGUCAAGCCGCCCUUGGCAGCAGGGCACAGGGUUCCUGUGACACUUCUCUCUCGUCCCCAUCAGCAGUGACAGCGGAGGACUUUUUGCUGUUGUUUUAACUGAAGUGUGACGUAUGGAAAGAAGCACAAGUCACAAGUGUGCGCGGGCGGGGUGCCUGAGGAGUCGUAGCUACUUUGGACACUGAGAACGCGCCAGGCACAGCGGCCGGCCCCCUCUCUUUGCAGAGCCAGUUUUUUACAGCUGCAAGUUGCCAAUUCAGCGGUUUGCAUAGCGCGCUGCGCUGAUGCGGGUCUCCUGAAAACGUGGGCUGGGACGGCGGUGGGGGUCUGAUGUAGCUCAUCCCAGGGGCAGGGCGCUUGCGCAGGCCUGGGGAGGUACACGAUCUCGUCUGAAGCACAGACUCCAGUGAAGGGGGCUCAUGGGGCAAUGCGUGCGGUGGGUGAUUUUGGUCAAGAGGGUUUUCUGAGAAAGGUGGAUGUUGGGCAGUGCCCGGAUCUGCGUAAGCAGGGCAUCAAUGAUUAUCUUGUACACUUACAGUGCCUGACUUUCUGAGAAAACCACAGAGACCAAAAUCAACCCUCAUCAAGACUCCUGCUGGAGUGCUUGGACUGAAAGAUUGAGAGCAGCUUCUUGAGCUCUGCAGUACCGGUCUUUAAGGGAGUUGGAGCUUUCUCUCCCGCAGAAAUCCCUUCUGCCUGGCAAGAGCAGGGAGUUAGAGGGCUUGGGGCAGACAAGAGCAGAUUGGAUCUGAGGGAGGACUGGCCUCGGGAAUGCUGGCGCCAUCAUAGAGCUGGCCAUGAGCCUGUGAUGCUAAGCUCUUACCGGGCGGCCCUUUCCCCGUGGUAAUUAAUUCUCUGCUCACAACCAGCACUGCUGAGUUAGUGUACUCUAACCUCAGAUCUUGGUGUGCCCUGUUCCGGCAGACCAAAACCAGAAACGGAACGCCUGCCUUUAAAUGAGGUUUCCAGACACUUGCUUUUCUUCCAGGUUCUUAGAAGGCGAUGUGCCUGGAAGACUACCUUUCCCUGAGCCCGGGGAUCUAUGGUGAGGGGUGGCUUUCCCCAAGGUAGUGAGGGAUUGAGUACAGACAAACUAAAAGACACCUUAUUUCUGUGGGUCCAUUCUCAUUUAAGUGGAACCAGAUGACUACCUCGUGAUGCAUGUGACUGCUGGGGUGGCAGCCCCCAAAUUCAAGUCUGGGCAGUGUGAGCUGGCUACCUGUCCCCUUGGAUUCCCCCUCUCCCCUUGCUGUCCUUCUCCAGAGCCAGGCCAAGGCCUCCAAAAGUGUGUGAGCAGUGGGAACUGUCCAGUAGCUGGUCAUCCUUAUGCCUACCUGGCCCUUCUCCCCCAACUCAUUCCUAUUCUGGGAUUCCCUUGAGGGCUUCUUUCCCAGGGCACAGCUCUGCAGAGGACAGCUGAAGGUGUCUGGUAGUUGUAGGUAGGUAGAUAGGAUUGGGAGAACACAUAAUAUUCCCUUUUGUUAUAGGCAUGGUCCCCACUUAUAAAUGCACUUCACAGGUCAGUUGACUACUGCCCAGCAUGCUGGCAAGCUUGCUACUCUACAGUGUUUAUGAGUGUUUUCUUUUCAAGCAGUCUAGAACAAAUCAAUGGGUGAAGCAAGACUCAAAAUGUUGGAUUCUGGCCUCUGGUAGGAAGGGAGUUGCUCUCCACAGCCCUGGCCACUUCACUUAACUCAUAUAGACGCUAGGUGUUUGCAAGGAAUCAAGUUGGAAAUUUUGUGUUGAUUAGUCAGUGCCAUAAAGGUGGACCAUGAACUUUCUCACUGUGAUCAGUGGGAAGUCGGCAGGCGUAGUCACACCUGGGCUGUCUUGUGAGGUGGGAAAUGAAAGGCAAGACUUAGCAGCAGAACCUUUUGGUUUCUCUUGGAUCCAAAACCCUUGUAGAGACCCUUGUCUUGUUCUAGUAGCUUGUCUGUGGGUAUUAGCAGUGUACCUGAGCAAGUCCUGCUCACAUCCUCGGGUCCUCACACAAAUCUGGAAUUUAUGAUUUGUCUUACAAGGCCAUUAAAAUUUGUGUUCAUCUGGGUAGUGAGCCUUGCUGAUUG
rnacentral:lncRNA from 1 species